rnacentral:rRNA from 1 species
UACGUAGGGGGCAAGCGUUGUCCGGAAUUAUUGGGCGUAAAGCGCGCGCAGGCGGUCCUUUAAGUCUGAUGUGAAAGCCCACGGCUCAACCGUGGAGGGUCAUUGGAAACUGGGGGACUUGAGUGCAGAAGAGGAAAGCGGAAUUCCACGUGUAGCGGUGAAAUGCGUAGAGAUGUGGAGGAACACCAGUGGCGAAGGCGGCUUUCUGGUCUGUAACUGACGCUGAGGCGCGAAAGCGUGGGGAGCAAACAGG